rnacentral:rRNA from 1 species
UCCGGAACUGUCAAGCUAGAGUGCAGGAGAGGAAGGUAGAAUUCCCGGUGUAGCGGUGAAAUGCGUAGAGAUCGGGAGGAAUACCAGUGGCGAAGGCGGCCUUCUGGACUGACACUGACACUGAGGUGCGAAAGCGUGGGUAGCAAACAGGAUUAGAUACCCUGGUAGUCCACGCCGUAAACGAUGUCGACCAGCCGUUGGGUGCCUAGCGCACUUUGUGGCGAAGUUAACGCGAUAAGUCGACCGCCUGGGGAGUACGGCCGCAAGGUUAAAACUCAAAUGAAUUGACGGGGGCCCGCACAAGCGGUGGAGCAUGUGGUUUAAUUCGAUGCAACGCGAAGAACCUUACCUACUCUUGACAUCCUGCGAAUUUGGUAGAGAUACCUUAGUGCCUUCGGGAACGCAGAGACAGGUGCUGCAUGGCUGUCGUCAGCUCGUGUUGUGAAAUGUUGGGUUAAGUCCCGUAACGAGCGCAACCCUUGUCCUUAUUUGCCAGCGCGUAAUGGCGGGAACUCUAAGGAGACUGCCGGUGACAAACCGGAGGAAGGUGGGGACGACGUCAAGUCAUCAUGGCCCUUACGAGUAGGGCUACACACGUGCUACAAUGGUCGGUACAAAGGGUUGCCAACUCGCGAGAGUGAGCCAAUCCCGAAAAGCCGAUCUCAGUCCGGAUCGGAGUCUGCAACUCGACUCCGUGAAGUCGGAAUCGCUAGUAAUCGUGGAUCAGAAUGCCACGGUGAAUACGUUCCCGGGCCUUGUACACACCGCCCGUCACACCAUGGGAGUGGACUGCACCAGAAGUGUGUUAGCCUAACGCAAG